UACGUAGGGUGCAAGCGUUAAUCGGAAUUACUGGGCGUAAAGCGUGCGCAGGCGGUUUUGUAAGUUUGUCGUGAAAGCCCCGGGCUCAACCUGGGAAUGGCGAUGAAGACUGCAAGGCUUGAAUCUGGCAGAGGGGGGUAGAAUUCCACGUGUAGCAGUGAAAUGCGUAGAGAUGUGGAGGAACACCGAUGGCGAAGGCAGCCCCCUGGGUCAAGAUUGACGCUCAU
rnacentral:rRNA from 1 species